rnacentral:rRNA from 1 species
UACGGGGGGGGCAAGCGUUGUUCGGAAUUACUGGGCGUAAAGGGCGCGUAGGCGGGAUGGCAAGUCGGUCGUGAAAUGCCUCGGCUCAACUGAGGAUCGUCGAUCGAUACUGCCGUUCUUGAGGAUUGCAGAGGAGACUGGAAUUCCCGGUGUAGCGGUGAAAUGUGUAGAGAUCGGGAGGAACACCGGUGGCGAAGGCGGGUCUCUGGGCAAUUCCUGACGCUGAGGCGCGAAAGCGUGGGGAGCAAACGGG